rnacentral:rRNA from 1 species
AAAUCAUCAUGCCCUUAUGACCUGGGCUACACACGUGCUACAAUGGUUGGUACAACGAGUUGCGAGUCGGUGACGGCGGAGCUAAUCUCUUAAAGCCAAUCUCAGUUCGGAUUGUAGGCUGCAACUCGCCUACAUGAAGUCGGAAUCGCUAGUAAUCGCGGAUCAGCACGCCGCGGUGAAUACGUUCCCGGGCCUU